GGACUGUUAGCUCAGCGGCAGAGCGCUGCCCCCACACGGCAGGCGGCGGAGGUUCGAGUCCCCCACGGUCCA
rnacentral:tRNA from 1 species